rnacentral:rRNA from 1 species
AUUGAACGCUGGCGGCACGCCUAACACAUGCAAGUCGAGCGGCAGCGAGACUAGUAGCAAUACUAGUUGUCGGCGAGCGGCGGACGGGUGAGUAACACGUAGGAAUCUGCCCUUAAGCGGGGGAUAACCAAGGGAAACUUUGGCUAAUACCGCAUAAUCUCGAGAGAGCAAAGCUGCCCGCAAGGGUGGCACUUGAGGAGGAGCCUGCGUCCGAUUAGCUAGUUGGUGGGGUAAUGGCCUACCAAGGCGAUGAUCGGUAACUGGUCUGAGAGGACGACCAGUAACACUGGGACUGAGACACGGCCCAGAAUCCUACGGGAGGCAGCAGUGGGGAAUAUUGGACAAUGGGGGCAACCCUGAUCCAGCGAUGCCGCGUGAGUGAAGAAGGCCUUCGGGUCGUAAAGCUCUUUAGGUUGGGAAGAAGGGUAUUGGCUGAAUAAUCCAGUACUUUGACGGUACCGACAGAAUAAGCACCGGCUAACUACGUGCCAGCCGCCGCGGUAAGAC